GGGAAAAGGGAUGGACUUGCAAGAAGAUUAGGAGGGUACCAUAACACAUUCCCUACAGUAAUUAGGGCUUCCCUUAACAAAGCCAAGGCUGGCACCUGGGUAGAUGUUCUUUGUUGAUUACGAAGUCUUAAUGUGGACUAGCUUCAGAAGCUUCUCAGAGCCAAACCGUCAUCUCUUUGCCUUUCUGCUACGAAGACCACACUCCCAUCCAGGCCACCCACCAGGUUCCAUUUGGUGGAACCCCCACCAAGGACACCUUUAGCUGUUGAUUGCUUUAUAGAAUAACCGGGCUGGAUGACAGCCCUGAGCAGUUUGCCAGUGUGGUCUAGUUUUCUAGGUUUCCCUGGUGAGUCAACAGGAAUGUAUCUACUUGUCUCUGGGAAUUGCAGUUCUACAUCAUCACCUAAAGUCUUCCAGAUUUUCCUGAAGAGAGGCAAAUAAACUGUGCCCCAGGAAUAUGCCAUGGACACAGGAGUUCUCUGACCUAUCACUGACUUUGUUCAGAGACUUCAAACAUCACCCUGGAAGACAGAUUAUCUCCACUACCAUCUUUCUUCACUGCAACGAGACGAGAAAUCAGUGAUAGGAAGAAAACUGUAAAGGUGUAAAACACAACUGAAAGCUGACUGUUGAAUUAACAUCGUGGUGAACAAGUGAACAGGACAGAAAGGGCUCCAAAUCUCCAGGAGCUGGUGAUCAACCAGGAAAGGGAAACAUUGACCGGACGGGAAAGCCACGAUUCACAGCCGUGAUUCCAGAAAGGGGCCUUUGUUGAAUCUGUAUUUGGCUACACCAAUAGAAGAAAGCCAGUCAACAUCAUGUUGUGAUCGUCCCUGGCUCUUUUCUUCCGAGCUGUUUAUGAAGCAGGGAUCUCACAGGAAGCUGGGCUGUAAAGUUCUGGGCAGAGGUACAGAGCACUUUAACCUGUUACGUACCCCACCACUAAUUAGCCCUCUGAUGCUUUGUUUCUAAGAAGAAUGAGACUUGUUUCUCUGCCCUGUUGGGUCUUGCAGAAGAUGCUUUGAAGAUCCAACUGAACCUCUAAAUAAUGGAUUUCUAGACCUUAUGGGUCCCAGACAUCUUGUUCAAUGAGACUUAAAUACUUGCCUACAAAUUAGUAUUCUCGUCCCUCUUUAUGGACCAUGUUCUUAUUUGUACCUGGUUUUAAAAUUUUCAUUGUGGUAUCGUAGACUGUGUCUGAGAUCCAGUACUUGACUGACCCAAUGUUUCUCUUGGUGUUACGUGACUUUCUUGCCUUCAGGAUUUGUGAAACCAGUGUUUGGCGGCUGCUAGUCAUUUGACUCAUGAAACUUACCACUAACUGAAAUCUGCAUUUUUGCCUCUUCCUGUUCAUGUUUGAGUCGUUUUAUAAUGCUUCCUGAAAUACUUCACUUAAAAAAGAAGUCAAACAACAAGAACAAUAACAACAACAACAACAAAGCUCUUCCCAACUUGACACCAUUUGAAGCAGUUAGGUCCUUUCCUGAUGGGGCAGUUUGUGCUGCAUACAUUCAGGGCAGGAGAGAUAAAGGGCGUGUGGAAUCUGGAGGUGUGUCUCAAAAUCCAACAAGCAGUAGACCUUGUUAGUCAGGUCAGGAGAAAGUCGGAGGCUUUCCCUUUUAAUAAAUUAUUGUAGAUUAUAUAUGAAUUUAAAA
rnacentral:lncRNA from 1 species